GCUCACUCACUGGUCAAGAAAUAAGAUAUUGGAAGAGAAAUUUUACACAAAAUUUUACACAAAUUAGACAAAAUAGGACAGUCUGGCUACUAUUGAGCUCAAUCUUUAAAAUAGAUACAACAGCGAUAAAGUGUAGAAGAGAAAAAUGACUUCAUAUUCAUACUCACUGUGAACAACAGACAGAGAAACUCCAGACUGAUUAACCAGAAUGUGUUUACUGGGUUCAGCUUCAGAUUUAUAUUGUUGGCAAUUAUAAUAACCAGCAUCCUUCACUGUGAUGUUCCUCAUUACCAGAGAACAGUUUGCUGCAACACUCAGUCUGUUAGAUUUACUCUGAGCAUUUUUAACCUGUCCCAGUGUAACCAGUUCUACUGACCUUCUGGUGUUACUAUAGAGCCAUGUGGUACCAUUACAGUUUAUCUGACCACUUAUCACAUGUUGGCAAGACAAAACCAUAUCAUCCCCAGAUCUUAUGAAAACAGAUGAUCCACCUGCGCACACUGUUGGGUUAAAAAAAAAAAAAAUACACUGAAAAAUACUUUUAAAAUACAUAAA